UACGUAGGGGGCAAGCGUUGUCCGGAUUUAUUGGGCGUAAAGAGUUCGUAGGUUGUUUACUACGUCAGAUGUGAAAUUUUAUAGCUCAACUAUAAAACUGCAUUUGAUACGGGUAGACUAGAGUUUGAUAUGAGAGAUUAGAAUUUCUAGUGUAGCGGUGAAAUGUGUAGAUAUUAGAAGGAAUACCAGUAGCGAAGGCGGAUCUCUGGAUCAAUACUGACACUGAGGAACGAAAGCAUGGGGAGCAAACAGG
rnacentral:rRNA from 1 species